UUUAAAACACAAUUGCAAAGCAAAAAGGGAGAAUAUUUUUACUUUUACAUGCAUGAUCAGAUCUUUCUAUCUUUACCUUAAAUUUUUAAAACCUGGUUGCAGAACUUCAUUGGCAAAAGGACAAACCUGAGAACCAUGCCUCGGGCUCAAGUCCUAUAGAAGGACAUCCAAACAGCAAAGUGGGAGAGCCCAGUGCAGUUAACACGGAUUGAGGGUUUGCUUGUGUGUUAACAGACAAUAGAGCACCAUUAUGGCUGCCCUCCUGGAGUGUGGGAACAGUGAGAGAGGAACAUCCUGGUUCUGUGGUGCUUGUUCCCAUCCAGCCCUCUAGCGCGAGCAUUCUCAAGGAUGAUCCUGGAGGAGAGGCCACCAGCACAGCCUGCAGAUAACUUGCUGUAACAUUAUCGAGGGAAGGAAGAACGCUUUACCAUCAGGAAAUCUUGGAAAAGCC
rnacentral:lncRNA from 1 species